CCCUUAGAUGUCCUGGGCCGCACGCGCGUUACACUGAUGCAUUCAACGAGCUUAUAACCUUGGCCGAGAGGCCUGGGCAAUCUUGUUAACGUGCAUCGUGAUAGGGAUAGAUUAUUGAAAUUAUUAAUCUUGAACGAGGAAUUCCUAGUAAACGCAGAUCAUCAAUCUGCAUUGAUUACGUCCCUGCCCUUUGUACACACCGCCCGUCGCACCUACCGAUUGGAUGGUCCGGUGAAUGAUUCGGACUUCAGCGGCUCCCCUGGGGUGCGCCGGAGAAAGUUUUGUGAACCUUAUCACUUGGAGGAAGGAGAAGUCGUAACA
rnacentral:rRNA from 1 species